CUCUGAAAUACUCCAGCCAGCAUGUAUUGAUGACCCUCUGGUUUACGGAUGGCUCCUUCGAAGGACACAGUGCUGGGAAAACUGCACUUGAUGCAAGGCUCAGGAAGGGUAUACACAGAGAAAAUACACAGCUGCCCAUCCUAAUGCCCUACGUCUUGAAGAAGUUCUCAUCAACCAGACACCACUCACUGCAGCUGUGAAUGGGCCUACAUGGACAGCCUAACGAUACACACGAUUACUGUGGAUUGUACCAUUUGGAAACCAUGAAGAUGGCUUUGGAGGGCAUUUGAUGUAAUAGCUUUACAUCUGUAAUUGCCACAAAAAGUCUCUUUCAGUGAAAGCACUGGGCACGUUAGCACUUGAAUGAAUUUUCUGGCUACACAAUUGGGCUUUUUGACAUUAUAGUACACAAAAAGGUAAUAAUUUAUAAACGCACUAUCCGGUGAUGAGGAGGGGGAGUCUUAACGUUUCUGUCCCGUGUCAUCUCAGGAAGUAUUUCUGCCACCAUUCCCUCUGACUGGCUCAUUAUCGAUAAAUACCAGCAAAAUUAAUUAUCUUCUUCUGCUCUUCAUACCUGCCUGAUCCAUCCUGAUGUUCUUCUGGCUGGAGUUCUCAAACCAUUCGCUGCUGCUGAGGAUGGCUCAACAUAGACAGCCAAAAGAUACAGGAGAUUAUUGUGGAUGAUACCACUUAGAGUCCUUGAAGACAACUUUCCACUGUAACUGCCAAGAACAGUUUUGUACUCAAGUCUCCAUCAGUGAAUAGUGGAUAACUUUAACACAAUAUACUUCUUAUUAAAACUCCAAUGGUUAUAGCACCUUUUCUAUAUAGUAUCCAUAUAGCGGAUGGGUUUCCACUGUCUGUAUUCUAUCUGUAAAGCUGCUAUUAGAUAAUGUCCAUUGUAAAAACCUCUACACAAAUAAAACUAAUUUUAUCAAAUUAAAUUCAUUUAAAUAUCUCCAUUACACCCAUUUUAUAUAACUUAUAUAUUUACUCUUUACAUCAAAUAAUAGAAAUGAUUUACAGCCUGUGUCCUGGACACACCUACUUCUGUCACCCCUGACUGCUCCAAAUGAAAUCUUCCAACUAGAGCCUUCCAGCUGUAUGAAUUACGGCUAUAAUGAGAAGAAAAGUUGUCUCACCUUGGGUGUUUCUCUCAAAAAUACACCAAAAGUAAAUGCCCCCGAACAUUUCAGGUUUCACAGCAAACUACAUCACGCUGACACAACAUCAGUGCCUGACCUCAAUAAAGCUCUUGUGGAUGAGUGAGCAAAUCCCCUCAGCCACACUCCAAAAUUUUGUGAAAAGAGUGGAGAUUGUUAUGACAGCAAAAAGGAAUGAAAUGCGAGAACUGUGCAGGUGUCCACAACCUUUUAGAUAUAUAAUGUUUAUUUGCUAGGAGUUUUCUUUGUGCAGCAUCAUGAUGAAACAGAUAAUAGAUCUUUAACAAAUAUUUGUUACAUUAAAUGUUAAUUUAAAAAGAGCUGUGUAGAUUAAAAUUGUAUAUGUUUACUAGUAGGUAUACAUUAUGUACAUAACAUUUUUAACAUUGUUGUAUUUUGUAUUCCUCCUCUAGAACAGUCAAAUGACCUCUUCAGACAUUCCUCAAAAUCUAAUAAGCACUCACUUGAUUUAUGAUUAUUUUCAUUUCUCAAUUGAGCCUAUACUGCUUCUAAAUGUUCUAUUUCCCUAUAAUGUCACUUAUGAUUUAUCAGUGCAGUGGUAUUUACAGGUACGAUAUAUACAGUCAUAAUAAGGCAAAAUACUGUACCUAUACUGAAUCCCACUGUGCUGCAACUUUACCUCUGCAAUUUUGGCUGCAUUUGUGAGUAUGAUAGAAAUUUGUAUUCCAACUAUAAUUGUUAAGAAAUAAUGGAUGUUCAAAUGUCUACCAGAGGCCUACUAAAACUAAAAGCAUGUACAGUGACUAAAUAUUGAAACUGACAAUGAUUGUAUUCUUUCAAUUCAUAGAAGAGCUUGUGAGGCAACUAGUCUAAAGUAGCACCAACAUAUUUAUUUUACAGUAAAAUGAAGUGCAAUGACUGGUGGCAAAGGUGGUACAUGUAAUUACUGUAUAUUACCUAUAUUUAUAUAUAAUAUAUACAUAUAUUUUAUAUAAAAUAUUAACUCUUAUGGUUGCACGUUUAGCUGUAGUCUUGGUAUGUAUGUUUCCAUACAAUCUUUAUCUACUGAUCAACACAAUCCAGUAGCUUUUUACCAAAUACAUUUGGGAACGAUAUAAAGAUAAAUAGACCGCUCUUAGGACCACCAGUGCAACUGUACAUCAGGUGUAGAAUUGAGAUAUUUUAGAAAGUUUCACAGGUUCACAUUGUAUCUGAUCAUAAAUAUAGUUUAGUAACUGCAUAAAUUGAGUUGGGUUAAACUAGGGUUAGUUUGUUUGCAUUUUGGUACAUAGAAUCCAUCUCUAUUUCCUUAAAAUAUAUCAUGGGUGGAUACAACAAAAGUACACACAGCUACUACACAUUUUAUUUUUCCUAAUAUCAACUGGAAGGAUGUAGCUGAGUUUGAGGAAUAUUAAGGAAUCACCAGGGAUGGAAUUUACACACCAUGCUGGCACUGCUCGUAUUUCGACCUCUGGGUUUUUCGAGGGCAUAUUGGUAGGGUUGAUUUUUUUAUAAAGGAAUCAUUCAGUUAUAUUUGUUGCACUAAACAGCUUUGACAUCAUAAAGCAUGUUGCUCGCACAGCCGAAGUAAGACAUUUGCACAAACCUUACUGUGGCUUGCUAAUUAUGUGUACUAAGCUUAAUUUUUACUACAUCUACUUAUAUUACAGGAUUUUGCUUUGUUACUGCCAAGCUAAUGAACAGUGCAUUAAUGACUGACUUGCUGGGAUUUUAUGGAGGUUCCAUUCAUAAAGCUCUCCAAAGAGAUCCCAUUCUACUGUCAGUGCAUUUCAGAUGAGAUUACCUGCAUCAGAAACACUUGUCUUAGUAAAGCAGUGUAAAUAGUUUGGGACUAAUGAGCUUAAACUUUGUCAUGAAUCUAAAGCUGAAAUUCGAAACAAGUCCUUUUAAACAUGUGCUUUGAAAAAAGUAAUAUACAAACUGUUUUAUACAGAUAAAUGUUCAUUUUUUUUUUUUUUAUUGCCAGUAUCCCUUCGGUUCACACAGAGGAACAACACUCAUUCAUUAAGCCCAUCACACAAACAGGGUUAAAGAAACACAGCUGAACCACUGACCACCACUUUUUUUUUUUUUUUGUACAUUCCACUGCCUUUGGUCCUGUUAACAAACCCCUGUGCAGACCACAGGCCAGUAUGCAUAGUGCAGGUGUGAGGGAAUAUGCGAGUGUGUUAGUUUACAGGUUUUAUAUACGGGGAAGAUGCAUGUGAUUUCUAAGCCAUUUCCAUCAAGUUUCUACAGUCUAUUAUAAAAUGCCUUGCUAAUGUCUGAGUUAUUAGACAAAUACAAUGCAAUGUAAUUUACAAUAACGUCAAAUCAAAUGCAAAAAAAAAUAAA